AACUAACACAAGGUCUUUCAGAAUUUUUCUAAUAGGUUUUCUGACUAUGGUUGGAAAAUCCAU
ensembl:snRNA U7 U7 small nuclear RNA